UACGUAGGUGGCGAGCGUUGUCCGGAUUUAUUGGGCGUAAAGAGCCCGCAGGCGGCUCGGCAAGUUUCAGGUGAAAUCUCCCGGCUUAACCGGGAGGGUGCCUGGAAAACUGCCGGGCUUGAGGCAGGGAGAGGGAUGCGGAAUUCCCGGUGUAGUGGUGAAAUGCGUAGAUAUCGGGAGGAACACCAGUGGCGAAGGCGGCAUCCUGGCCCUGUCCUGACGCUCAGGGGCGAAAGCGUGGGGAGCAAACCGG
rnacentral:rRNA from 1 species